rfam:Rattus norvegicus chromosome 5, whole genome shotgun sequence.
GGGGAUUUAGCUCAGUGGUAGAGUGCUUGCCUAGCAAGCGCAAGGCCCUGGGUUCGGUCCCCAGCUCCG